UGACGGUUCGUCAAUUCGUUGAGCGGGUGCGACGUUCCGGCUGAAACAAGUGCUAAAAGGUCCGUUUUGGCCGAGGAGCCGAGGCGGCGUGCAAAGACCGCGGAGACAAGUUUUCUAACCUUGCGGCGUUACCAAAAGGUACUAGUUCGAGUAUUCCCAGCGAGCGGGAGGAUCGUGGCAAGGGCUUAGCGCCCUAGCGGUGUCGGUUGAUAGUUUGCUUCCUAUAUUGCAUUAGUCCUACCCUAUGUUUACAUUUUGAGAGUAGAUGAUGUAUAGGGUGAGGUUUGAGAGGAUGUAUGUAUUUACAUUUUGAAAAAGAAUGCAAGUUGUAUUAAAUGGGUAAAGUUUAAUGAUGUUAAAAGAGGUUAAUGUAUCAAAGUUUUAUGUUUAAAUAGUUAAGUUUAUCUCUCUUUUGUA